GACGAACGCUGGCGGCGUGCUUAACACAUGCAAGUCGAACGAUGAACUUGGAGCUUGCUCUGGGGGAUUAGUGGCGAACGGGUGAGUAACACGUGAGUAACCUGCCCCGGACUCUGGGAUAACUUCGAGAAAUCGGAGCUAAUACCGGAUAGGACCUUGCACCGCAUGGUGUGGGGUGGAAAGUUUUUCGGUUUGGGAUGGACUCGCGGCCUAUCAGCUUGUUGGUGAGGUAAUGGCUCACCAAGGCGUCGACGGGUAGCCGGCCUGAGAGGGUGCCCGGCCACACUGGGGCUGAGACACGGCCCAGACUCCUACGGGAGGCAGCAGUGGGGAAUAUUGCACAAUGGGCACAAGCCUGAUGCAGCAGCGCCGCGUGCGGGAUGACGGCCUUCGGGUUGUAAACCGCUUUUAGUAGGGAAGAAGCCUUCGGGUGACGGUACCUGCAGAAAAAGGACCGGCUAACUACGUGCCAGCCGCCGCCGUAACAC
rnacentral:rRNA from 1 species